rnacentral:tRNA from 1 species
AAGGCUUUAAGUUAAUUAAACUAUUAGCCUUCAAAGCUGAAAAUAAAAAAAAUUUUUUAAGCCUUA